rnacentral:rRNA from 1 species
UACGGAGGGUGCGAGCGUUAAUCGGAAUUACUGGGCGUAAAGGGUGCGUAGGUGGUUUGAUAAGUUAUCUGUGAAAGUCCUGGGCUUAACCUAGGGAGGUCAGAUAAGACUGUUGAGCUAGAGUAUAGGAGAGGGUAGUGGAAUUUCCGGGUGUAGCGGUGAAAUGCGUAGAGAUCGGAAGGAACACCAGUGGCGAAGGCGGCUACCUG